UUCCAUGUCGAUUUGCCCGACUGUUGCUUGCCAAUCUUUUCUUCGAAAUAAUACUUAAAUUCUAAAUUCAAGACUCGCUUUUCAAAUUUGAGUUUCUUUUUAUUCAAACUAAAACCGCGAAUUUGCGUCACUGACUGUGCUGUUCCUAGCAGCGAGAAUGCGAAUUAUAUCCGCUCAUUACACUUCCCUCCUUAAAAGAAAGGCACUUGCAUAAAGUGUCUUUCUCAAAUUGAAUAGUUCGGGUAGAAUUUGAAUUCACAGAGGAUUUAUGGCUGCUAAGUUUUAAUAGUGUAAAUUUUUCUUAGUGCUGUUUAGUGAAAAAUAAGUGAAAAAAAUGCAAACUGCAGUAUCGCCCUAUUCGAGGAUUAAAAAAAGGCAAUAAAAUAAGUUCUCUAAUUGUGACACCUCUACUUCAUUUUUCAUGUUAAUGUCACUUCACAACAUGUAUUGCAACCAUUGCAACAAAUCGUAGCUCAAGAGGAGCUUCAAUUAGAAAAAUAUACUCGGUAUCUUCUCGUCUCCGAAUUCGGAAGGAAAUCUUGUCCUCCGCCCAAAAACAACUUCGUGAGGAGUCAUGCCAGUGGACUCGUGAACAGAAGUAUUGAAGGAAAAAAUGGCAAACGGAAGCCAUUGGUCCCAGUUACUCCGCUCACUGUAA